UGGAAUUCCACGUGUAGCGGUGAAAUGCGUAGAGAUGUGGAGGAACACCAGUGGCGAAGGCGACUCUCUGGUCUGUAACUGACGCUGAGGAGCGAAAGCGUGGGGAGCGAACAGGAUUAGAUACCCUGGUAGUCCACGCCGUAAACCAUGAGUGCUAAGUGUUAGGGGGUUUCCGCCCCUUAGUGCUGCAGCUAACGCAUUAAGCACUCCGCCUGGGGAGUACGGUCGCAAGACUGAAACUCAAAGGAAUUGACGGGGGCCCGCACAAGCGGUGGAGCAUGUGGUUUAAUUCGAAGCAACGCGAAGAACCUUNCCAGGUCUUGACAUCCUCUGACAAUCCUAGAGAUAGGACGUCCCCUUCGGGGGCAGAGUGACAGGUGGUGCAUGGUUGUCGUCAGCUCGUGUCGUGAGAUGUUGGGUUAAGUCCCGCAACGAGCGCAACCCUUGAUCUUAGUUGCCAGCAUUCAGUUGGGCACUCUAAGGUGACUGCCGGUGACAAACCGGAGGAAGGUGGGGAUGACGUCAAAUCAUCAUGCCCCUUAUGACCUGGGCUACACACGUGCUACAAUGGACAGAACAAAGGGCAGCGAAACCGCGAGGUUAAGCCAAUCCCACAAAUCUGUUCUCAGUUCGGAUCGCACUCUGCAACUCGACUGCGUGAAGCUGGAAUCGCUAGUAAUCGCGGAUCAGCAUGCCGCGGUGAAUACGUUCCC
rnacentral:rRNA from 1 species